AACGCGAAGAACCUUACCUGGGCUUGACAUGCAGGAAGUAGAAACCGGAAACGGCGACGACCUGUUAAGUCAGGAACCUGCACAGGUGGUGCAUGGCUGUCGUCAGCUCGUGCCGUGAGGUGUUGGGUUAAGUCCCGCAACGAGCGCAACCCUCGUUCUAUGUUGCCAGCACGUAAUGGUGGGAACUCAUGGGAUACUGCCGGGGUCAACUCGGAGGAAGGUGGGGAUGACGUCAAAUCAUCAUGCCCCUUAUGUCUUGGGCUUCACGCAUGCUACAAUGGCCAGUACAAUGGGCUGCGAUACCGCAAGGUGGAGCGAAUCCCAAAAAGCUGGUCCCAGUUCGGAUUGAGGUCUGCAACUCGACCUCAUGAAGUCGGAGUCGCUAGUAAUCGCAGAUCAGCAACGCUGCGGUGAAUACGUUCCCGGCCUUGUACACACCGCGCAUA
rnacentral:rRNA from 1 species